UAUGGUAUUUGGCCCAUGCUCCUCUUUUAGGUGCCCAGAGCACACCCGAGCUGGGGCUCUCCUCGAUCCGUCCGGGUACGGCACCGGUGGCGGCGGCCGGUCUUCUUCUCCGGCCAUCUGCCGCUCUCCUUCCCUUCCCCAUCCGCCCCUAAAAUUCUCCGGCAUCAACCCAGCCUCCUCAAUCUCUAGCCCAUAUCCAUGGAGUUCCAGACUUGGAUUUCAAAGGGAUUCGGUGCCUCAGGAGGAUGAACGCCAUGGCAGCUACACACACGCGGCGGCAGCGGAUUGAAGGAUGCGGCAGCAAAUCGGCGUGAGCAUCCAUCUUCUGCUCUCUAAAUCUCUCUCUCUCUCUCCAACCUCCUCUAUCCUCUUGCAUCACAAACAGGCGGCGACUCUAUCCGGCCGAGUGUGGCGUAUGUGGUGCCUGUGUUGUGCUCCCGGCGGCCUAGCGUGUGUGCGUGCGGCUGGAUAUGCGUCUGUGUUCAUGUGUGUGGCGCUCUACAGGCAGAGGAAGUGGGUGGUUGCAGGCAGAGGAGUAUUAAGAUUAGUAUGGCACGAUUAGGAUACUUCCCUUGAUUUCUAUAAGAAAAAUUGAUAGUUUCCUUGAUUUGUUUUGUGGUGCACUGAUAUUUGGUUUGUGGUGCAGGAGCUUGAAGAUAUCAGGGGCAGCAGGCUUUACUGCAAUAUAUUCGUCCAUGAUUUUCUCACCAAAUCUGAAAUUAUUGGCCACCUAAAGUUUAAUCCCCUUGAGAAAAUGAGAGUAUUUAUGUACUAUGCUCUAUGGAUGUUGACAAUUUUGAUUGCAGGGGCUGGCAAAGUAAGUGCAGUGCUUGCCGUUGCAUAUAGAUAUUUAGGGCUACAUCAAACUUCAGUCAGUAGAACAUGAUGACCAGGCAGGGAGGUUCAUGCAGCAUUGGAAGUGAGGAUGUUUGGUGUAGAAUCGGUGCCGCCUCCACUCUACCCCGCCCCUCUGCAUUGUCCUCGGCGGCAAUACGGGCGACCUCGCUGCUUGCCUCGCGUGCAACCACUUCAUCCCCAACCUGUCGGAAGAGAGCAUUGCAGACUGGGCGGACAAACAAUGAGGUGUAGCAGCACAACCUUGCCUCUUUCCCUUACUCUCAUUUACAAGCGAGCCAAAGACACCCCAAGUGAUGGCACGAUGGCCCAUCGUGUAUGAAUGUGCUUCCAAACAAGCUUGCGGCGGCUCAGACCAGACUUGCUUGGCAUACAUGGCUGCAAUGCAUACAUGUGGCGGGAAACAGGCAGGGAAGCUUGGGACUGGAUAUGCAAUUAUGCCUUUGAAAAAUGUGCAUCUCCGCAUCAGAAUUCUUUUGUGGUACGUUCUUCGUAAAGAUAUGCCUCAUGUGAAGUAUACCAUAUGCAGUUGAGGCUAUCAUGCUGAAGGGUAGGAAGAUGGAGGAGUGGAUUAUUUUAGCAAGCUGGUAACCUAUUGGUUUGUGAGUAAUCUUCUGUAUAUACUAUUUAUAGGACUGUUGUUGUGGUGUUGACGACGACAACGAAGUGUGCAGAUGUUUGGUAUGGAGAGAAAUUCAGAAGGACAGGGAGAACUCAUCUCUUCAGAACUAAAGUACACCUCUGAAUCUAUUUGUGAGCAAUUCUUAUGCACUCAAUUGGCCUAUAUACAUGUCUGAUUUAUGCCAAUGAAGUUGACCAAAUGAGAAACCUCAAUGAUAAGUAAUUCUUUAAUAAAACAUCUAACUAUAAUUAUGCUUAAGAUAUUCUAGCUCUCUACAUGGUUAAAUUAUUAUUCUAUUACAUCAUUAUACACUAUCCUAUAAUUUUAAAUGGCUAGAAAUUUCAGUCUUCUUCUGGCUAAUUGUUUUUUAAAGUCAAGUGUUAAAGUCACUCUGACGCGGAUACUGUAUAUCCAUUGAUAGUUUAUUAGGCGAGGCGUUGUAUUUUUCUUUUGUUUCUUCGGUCUAUUUUGUAAUGAAAGUUACUCUCAAACUGAUGAUUCCAUGUUUUGGAUGACAAUCAAUCAUAAGCAUAUAUAUGUUCCAAAUCUUCAGCCUUCCUUGGUUGACAAAUACAUUUAUUGCACAUGUAUGUUGUUUAAUAAAAGGAGGAUUAAGAUUGAUGAAGUUUUUGGU